rnacentral:lncRNA from 1 species
UAUAUCAUCAAUCGUUGUUUUAUAUUCUAAUAUUUUCUUUUGUUAAUAAAUUGUUUUUCUUUUUUAAAAUCUGGUGAUUUUUGUGAGUCAAUCUUUUACACCCGGAUCUUUGUGCCGCUUACUCAUGUGACCUUUAUUAAAUUCAUUAAAUUAAUUUUAAACACCUUAAAAUAUUCGGCCUAUCCAGUUGCGCAGGCCUUACAAAAGUAAAAUCCCAAAGAACGAGGUCAGGAGUGUACACCAUCCUCCUAUACAACCUAGAUGAGAACAAACAACAGUACUAUGUAGGAAGCACAAGCAGAAGCCUCGAAAAAAGACUAAGGGAACAUAAAGCCGAUAUAAUGUGGCUAGACGGACUAACGCAUUGGCAUGUAAGGCCUAUGAACAAGUAAUCACCAUUGGCUGGGCAGAAGCAACCCUAUUGAAACCAAUGUAUGAGAGAGCACAGGACUGGUUACAAUGGAAGCUAUGCAGAUGGAGAAAAUGAAGCGCUCCCACGAUAUUAUCAAUGAUAACACCCCCCACGCACUCCCUAUAUCAUGGAAAUGGUGUGCAAUCAACAACAUAUUAUACUGCCACUCCAGGCUCCACCAUAUAUAUAUUUUGGGAUUGCCAUGUGUGACUGGAAGGCUGGUCUACAACACUUGCCGGAACGUACCAUAUUGGCACCCUGAACAUGGAGAGAAGAGUUAAGAACCGCAUCAGGAGGAAUAAGUUUUACCUAUAUAUAUAUAAGAACUUUUAUAUACACUUAGAAAUGUUUUAUUUGUAUUAUAUACUUUGAUGUUACGUCAACGCUUAGUUAUCUGUGUUUUGUUAAUGUAGAC